rnacentral:rRNA from 1 species
GCAAGUCGAACGCGAAAACCCCGCAAGGGGUUAGUAGAGUGGCGAACGGGUGAGUAACACGUGGGUGACCUACCUUUCGAAUGGGGGAUAACGUCCCGAAAGGGACGCUAAUACCGCAUAACAUCCUGCUUUUGAACAAGUGGAGAUCAAAGCCGGGGAUCGCAAGACCUGGCGUUUGAAGAGGGGCCCGCGUCUGAUUAGCUAGUUGGUGAGGUAACGGCUCACCAAGGCGACGAUCAGUAUCCGGCCUGAGAGGGCGGACGGACACACUGGGACUGAGACACGGCCCAGACUCCUACGGGAGGCAGCAGUGGGGAAUUGUUCGCAAUGGGCGCAAGCCUGACGACGCAACGCCGCGUGGAGGAUGAAGGUCUUCGGAUUGUAAACUCCUGUUGCCCGGGACGAAACGCUUCGACCUAACACGUCGGAGUUUGACGGUACCGGGUGAGGAAGCCCCGGCUAACUCUGUGCCAGCAGCCGCGGUAAUACAGAGGGGGCAAGCGUUGUUCGGAAUUACUGGGCGUAAAGGGCGCGUAGGCGGCCUUCUAAGUCGAACGUGAAAUCCCCGGGCUCAACCCGGGAACUGCGUCCGAUACUGGAAGGCUUGAAUCCGGGAGAGGGAUGCGGAAUUCCAGGUGUAGCGGUGAAAUGCGUAGAUAUCUGGAGGAACACCGGUGGCGAAGGCGGCAUCCUGGACCGGCAUUGACGCUGAAGCGCGAAAGCCAGGGGAGCAAACGGGAUUAGAUACCCCGGUAGUCCUGGCCCUAAACGAUGAAUGCUUGGUGUGGCGGGUAUCGAUCCCUGCCGUGCCGAAGCUAACGCAUU